UGGGGUGUAGCUCAGUGGUAGAGCCCUGGCCUAGCAUGUGUGAGGCUCUGGAUUCAAUCUCCAGUACCUCAA
rnacentral:tRNA from 1 species